rnacentral:rRNA from 1 species
AAUGAACGUUGGCGGCGUGGAUUAGGCAUGCAAGUCGUACGCUUCAUGUAGCAAUACAUGAGGAGUGGCGAAAGGGAGAGUAAUGCAUGGUUAGCUACCCUCGGGACUGGGAUAGCGGCGGGAAACUGCCGGUAAUGCCAGAUGACGUCUUCGGAGCAAACGUGUAAACCGGCCCGAGGCGGCGACCAUGUCCUAUCAGCUAGUUGGCGGUGUAAUGGACCACCAAGGCUAAGACGGGUAUGGGGCGUGAGGGCGUGCCCCCACUCACUGGGACUGAGACACUGCCCAGACACCUACGGGUGGCUGCAGUCGAGAAUCUUCGGCAAUGGGCGCAAGCCUGACCGAGCGACGCCGCGUGCGGGAUGAAGGCCCUCGGGUUGUAAACCGCUGUCGUAGGGGAGGAAGGUCUGGUGAAGAGCCAGGCUUGACCGAUCCUAGGAGGAAGGGCCGGCUAAUCUCGUGCCAGCAGCCGCGGUAACAC